CCGCCGCGGCUAGAGGUUCCAUUGCAGACCCGGAGGCCGUGGCUGUGGUUCGCGGCGGUGCUGUCGCGGGCGCCCUGGCGCAGCCCACGCAGGGGCUCCUGAGGGGAGACAUAAGACAUCAGUCAGUACAUGUGAGGUGUGCAUUGGAUUGAUCCAGAAAGUCAGGACGACUCCAAGCGGAAAGGUCUCCAGAGACAGGAGACAGUAAAAGAAAUGGCCUCUCUCCUCCGUCAGAGUGGAGUCCCGAGCUCCCAGAAAUGCCACGUGAUGGACAAACGCUUGGGGGAAAAAAAAAAAGGAGACCUCAGUCGGACACAAAAGCAGGAGCUUUAAAAGAAAAAAUAAGAGAUAAGUUGAACUUCACCAAAAAAUAAGCGUUUCUGGUCUUUGAAAGACACUUAAAAUGAAAAGGCAAGCCAUCGAUGGGGAAAAUACUCAGAAUAAUGGAUCUGACGGAGGGCUGUAUCUAGAAUAUAUAAAGAUAUUUUAAAAUCCAGUAAUUUGACAUAAAGAUGGUAGCCAGCCUGACACACAAAGGAACCCGAAUGGCCAAUGGACAGGAAGGGAACCCGUAUGGCCGAUGGACAGGAAGGGAACCCGUGUGGCCGAUGGACAGGAAGGGAAGUGAACGUGAACAUCUCAUUGGGGAUGCCGUUAUCACCACUGGAUAGUCAAAAACACGGACACCAAGUAUUGGUGGGUGAGUGGAAUGGCGGGAACCCACAUACACGGUCGAUGGGAGCUGCACCCUUUGGAAAUCAUUUCACAGUUUGUGCUCCGUCCUGGCCAAACCCACAGCUGGAGUCUGUCCAAAAACAGUGACAGUGGAGUUUCCACCAGGGAGUGCCUCAAACCAUUCCUAGAUGGGGCUGGUUGGGAUUCCAGGGAGAGGCGCUCGUUGCCAGGGUGAUCCGUCCAGAGCACUUACUAGGGGAUCUGGCAUAAGGAGGGCUGCAGUGUAUCCUCAGGACAGAUAGGACAGAUAGUGUAUCUUUGGGACAGACGGCAAGACGGGGAUUCCACCCAGGUCUGUCUGCAGCAAGUUGAUAUGAGAGUUUAAGGAAUUUGGACCAGGGCUGCUUUGUUUCAGGGUUUUGGGCAAUGACCUAAACACCUUUAUCAGUGCCUGGGAAUGCUCAAGGCCCAGCUUGAGUUCAGGCCUGCAGGGAAAACCUGCAACUGGCCGGGCCACAGAGUGGUCAGGGCACAGAAAGCCAGAAGCUGGGGACACACCUGCUGUAUGAUCCAGCCAUUCGCCUUUACCUGGGAGAAAUGGCACCACUUGGCUGAACAUAACUUCUUACACACCCAUGAGUCCUCCUGGACAGGUGCUGUGACCUCGUGCAGCCUUGGGGACCCUGACACUCCCACGGACAGGCCAAGGGGUUUGCCUGGGCCCUGUGGGCACAGAGCCCCUUGAGAUGGGUUUCCCUAUGCAGCCCCCCACCCCCCACUGGGGACCCACGGCACUGCAGCCCUCACCCCCCGGGGACCCACAACACUGCAGACCCCCCCCACCGGGGACCCACAGCACUGCAGCCCUCGCCCCC
rnacentral:lncRNA from 1 species